CAGCCGCCGCGGGAAUACAGAGGGUGCGAGCGUUACUCGGAAUUACUGGGCGUAAAGCGUGCGUAGGUGGUGGUUUAAGUCCGUUGUGAAAGCCCUGGGCUCAACCUGGGAAUUGCAGUGGAUACUGGGUCACUAGAGUGUGGUAGAGGAUAGUGGAAUUUCCGGUGUAGCAGUGAAAUGCGUAGAGAUCGGAAGGAACAUCUGUGGCGAAGGCGACUAUCUGGGCCAACACUGACACUGAGGCACGAAAGCGUGGGGAGCAAACAGGAUUAGAUACCCCCGUAGUCCCUGUCUCUUAUAC
rnacentral:rRNA from 1 species